CUUGCGCAAUGGGGGAAAGCCUGACGCAGUGACGCCGCGUGGGGGAUGACGCUUUUCGGAGUGUAAACCCCUUUCGAUCGGGACGAAUGCCCCGCAAGGGGAGUGACGGUACCGGUAGAAGAAGCCCCGGCUAACUACGUGCCAGCAGCCGCGGUAAGACGUAGGGGGCCAGCGUUGCUCGGAAUUACUGGGCGUAAAGGGUUCGUAGGCGGUGCGGCAAGUUGGGAGUGAAAUCUCUGGGCUUAACCCAGAGGCUGCUUCCAAAACUGCCGUGCUAGAGUGCGAGAGAGGCCAGUGGAAUUGCAGGUGUAGCGGUGAAAUGCGUAGAUAUCUGCAGGAACACCCGUGGCGAAGGCGGCUGGCUGGAUCGCAACUGACGCUGAGGAACGAAAGCUAGGGGAGCAAACAGGAUUAGAUACCCUGGUAGUCCUAGCCCUAAACGAUCAGGACUUGGGGUGCAUCCCGUUGGGGGUGCGUCUCGUAGCUAACGCGUUAAGUCCUGCGCCUGGGGAGUACGGUCGCAAGACUGAAACUCAAAGGAAUUGACG
rnacentral:rRNA from 1 species